rnacentral:rRNA from 1 species
AUUAUCCUACGGGGCGCAGCAGUGAGGAAUAUUGGUCAAUGGUCGGGAGACUGAACCAGCCAAGCCGCGUGAGGGAUGAAGGUACAGAGUAUCGUAAACCUCUUUUGUCAGGGAACAAAGGCGGGGACGUGUCCCCGGAUGAGUGUACCUGAAGAAAAAGCAUCGGCUAACUCCGUGCCAGCAGCCGCGGUAAUACGGAGGAUGCGAGCGUUAUCCGGAUUUAUUGGGUUUAAAGGGUGCGCAGGCGGUCUGUUAAGUCAGCGGUCAAAGCCCGGGGGUCAACCCCCGCCCGCCUGUGAAACGUG